rnacentral:rRNA from 1 species
UACAGAGGGUGCAAACGUUGCUCGGAAUUAUUGGGCGUAAAGCGCGCGCAGGUGGUCAAGUAAGUCGGGUGUGAAAGCCCUCGGCUUAACCGAGGAAGUGCAUUCGAAACUACUUGGCUUGAGUAUCGGAGAGGAUCGCGGAAUUCCCGGUGUAGAGGUGAAAUUCGUAGAUAUCGGGAGGAACACCAGUGGCGAAGGCGGCGAUCUGGACGAUUACUGACACUGAGGCGCGAAAGCGUGGGGAGCAAACAGGAUUAGAUACCCUGGUAGUCCACGCCGUAAACGAUGAGCGCUAGUCAUCGCGGGUAUUGACCCCCGCGGUAACGCAGCUAACGCAUUAAGCGCUCCGCCUGGGGAGUACGGUCGCAAGACUAAA